AGCUCCGCAAGUGUAUUCCUAUACUGUUGCGUUUAAAUAGCUCGUAGUUGGAUCUGCGUGUUUAGCGCGCGGUGCUGCUUUAUUGCAGUUACUGCGACGCGACACUGUACGCUGAUUGCACACCCUAUGGGUGUUGUGUCAGCAAGUUUACUUUGAACAAAUCAGAGUGCUCAAAACGGGCGUUUCGCUCGAAUGUUCUUGCAUGGAAUAAUAGAAUAGGACCGCGCGUUCUAUUUUGUUGGUUUUCGGGACGCGGGUAAUGAUUAAGAGGGACAGACGGGGGCAUUUGUACUGCGACGUGAGAGGUGAAAUUCUUGGAUCGUCGCAAGACAGACUACUGCGAAAGCAUUUGCCAAGAAUGUUUUCAUUA
rnacentral:rRNA from 1 species